rnacentral:tRNA from 4 species
CUGCCCGUAGCUCAGCUGGAUAGAGCAACGGCCUUCUAAGCCGUAGGUCACUGGUUCGAAUCCAGUCGGGCAGGCCA